AUUGAACGCUGGCGGCAGGCCUAACACAUGCAAGUCGAGCGAGCGGCGGACGGGUGAGUAAUGUCUGGGCAACUGCCUGAUGGAGGGGGAUAACUACUGGAAACGGUAGCUAAUACCGCAUACCAUCAGAUGUGCCCAGAUGGGAUUAGCUAGUAGGUGGGGUAACGGCUCACCUAGGCGACGAUCCCUAGCUGGUCUGAGAGGAUGACCAGCCACACGGGAACUGAGACACGGUCCAGACGCCUACGGGAGGCAGCAGUGGGGAAUUUUGGACAAUGGGGGAAACCCUGAUCCAGCCAGCCCGCGUGUGCGAUGAAGGCCUUCGGGUUGUAAAGCACUUUUGGCAGGAAGGCGGUACCUGCAGAAUAAGCACCGGCUAACUACGUGCCAGCAGCCGCGGUAAUUC
rnacentral:rRNA from 1 species